AUUGAACGCUGGCGGCAUGCCUUACACAUGCAAGUCGAACGGCAGCUCGGGUGCUUGCACCUGGUGGCGAGUGGCGAACGGGUGAGUAAUACAUCGGAACAUGUCCUGUAGUGGGGGAUAGCCCGGCGAAAGCCGGAUUAAUACCGCAUACGAUCUACGGAUGAAAGCGGGGGACCUUCGGGCCUCGCGCUAUAGGGUUGGCCGAUGGCUGAUUAGCUAGUUGGUGGGGUAAAGGCCUACCAAGGCGACGAUCAGCAGCUGGUCUGAGAGGACGACCAGCCACACUGGGACUGAGACACGGCCCAGACUCCUACGGGAGGCAGCAGUGGGGAAUUUUGGACAAUGGGCGAAAGCCUGAUCCAGCAAUGCCGCGUGUGUGAAGAAGGCCUUCGGGUUGUAAAGCACUUUUGUCCGGAAAGAAAUCCUUGGCCCUAAUACGGUCGGGGGAUGACGGUACCGGAAGAAUAAGCACCGGCUAACUACGUG
rnacentral:rRNA from 1 species